rnacentral:rRNA from 1 species
GACGGAAGGUGCAAGCGUUGCUCGGAAUCACUGGGCGUAAAGGGUGCGUAGGCGGCUUGGUGGGUCUGGUGUGAAAGCCCCGGGCUCAGCCCGGGAAGGGCGCUAGAAACUGCCGAGCUCGAGUGCCGGAGGGGAGAGUGGAAUUCCUGGUGUAGCGGUGAAAUGCGUAGAUAUCAGGAGGAAUACCAGUGGCGAAAGCGACUCUCUGGACGGCAACUGACGCUGAGGCACGAAAGCGUGGGGAGCAAACAGG